rnacentral:rRNA from 1 species
UACAGAGGGUGCGAGCGUUGUCCGGAAUUACUGGGCGUAAAGAGUGUGUAGGCGGUGUUCUAAGUCUGUUGUGAAAUCUCCCGGCUUAACUGGGAGGGUGCGGCGGAAACUGGAAUGCUAGAGGAUGGGAGAGGUAAGCGGAAUUCCUGGUGUAGCGGUGAAAUGCGUAGAUAUCAGGAGGAACACCUGUGGUGUAGACAGCUUACUGGACCAUUUCUGACGCUGAGACACGAAAGCGUGGGUAGCAAACAGG